rnacentral:rRNA from 1 species
UGCAGAAUCCCGUGAACCAUCGAGUCUUUGAACGCAAGUUGCGCCCGACGCCUUCGGGCUGAGGGCACGCCUGCCUGGGCGUCACGCAUCGCGUCGCCCCCUCCCAAUCCCUCGGGGUUGGGUGAUGGGGCGGAAAAUGGCCUCCCGUUAGCUCGGUUGGCCCAAAAAGGAUCCCUCAUCGACGGAUGUCACAACCAGUGGUGGUUGCAAAAUCAUUGGUGCAGUUGUGCUUCACCCUGUCGCUUGAUUGGGCAUCGUUUUAACCUAAUGGCGUGUAAUGCGCCUUCGACCGCGACCCCAGGUCAGACGGGACUACCCGCUGAGUUUAAGCAUAUCAAUAAGCGGUGGAGAAGAAACUUACAAGGAUUCCCCUAGUAACGGCGAGCGAACCGGGAAUAGCCCAACUUGAGAAUCGGGCGGCCACGCUGUCCGA